GCAUAUCAAUAAGCGGAGGAAAAAGAAACUAACAAGGAUUCCCCUAGUAACUGCGAGUGAAGCGGGAAAAGCUCAAAUUUAAAAUCUGGCAGUCUUUGAUUGUCCGAGUUGUAAUCUAGAGAAGCAUUAUCCGCGCUGGACCGUGUACAAGUCUCCUGGAAUGGAGCGUCAUAGAGGGUGAGAAUCCCGUCUUUGACACGGACUGCCAGGGCUUUGUGAUGUGCUCUCAAAGAGUCGAGUUGUUUGGGAAUGCAGCUCAAAAUGGGUGGUAAAUUCCAUCUAAAGCUAAAUAUUGGCGAGAGACCGAUAGCGAACAAGUACCGUGAGGGAAAGAUGAAAAGAACUUUGGAAAGAGAGUUAAACAGUACGUGAAAUUGCUGAAAGGGAAACGCUUGAAGUCAGUCGCGUUGUCCGGGAAUCAACCUUGCUUUUGCUGGGCGUACUUCCUGGUUAACGGGUCAGCAUCAAUUUUGACCGUUGGAUAAAGUUGUUGGGAAUGUGGCUUCUUCGGAAGUGUUAUAGCCCAGUUUCGCAUACAACGGUUGGGAUUGAGGAACUCAGCACGCCGAAAGGCCGGGUUUUUAACCACGUUCGUGCUUAGGAUGCUGGCAUAAUGGCUUUAAUCGACCCGUCUUGAAACACGGACCAAGGAGUCUAACAUGCCUGCGAGUGUUUGGGUGGAAAACCCGAGCGCGUAAUGAAAGUGAAAGUUGAGAUCCCUGUCGUGGGGAGCAUCGACGCCCGGACUUGAACUUCUGUGACGGAUCCGCGGUAGAGCAUGUAUGUUGGGACCCGAAAGAUGGUGAACUAUGCCUGAAUAGGGUGAAGCCAGAGGAAAACUCUGGUGGAGGCUCGUAGCGAUUCUGACGUGCAAAUCGAUCGUCAAAUUUGGGUAUAGGGGCGAAAGACUAAUCGAACCCAUCUAGUAGCUGGGUUCCUGCCGA
rnacentral:rRNA from 1 species